rnacentral:rRNA from 1 species
UACAUAGGGAGCAAGCGUUGUCCGGAAUCAUUGGGCGUAAAGCGCGCGUAGGCGGCCCUGUAAGUCCGUUGUGAAAGUCAAAGGCUCAACCUUUGAAAGCCGAUGGAUACUGCAGGGCUAGAGUCCGGAAGAGGCGAGUGGAACUCCUGGUGUAGCGGUGGAAUGCGCAGAUAUCAGGAAGAACACCAACGGCGAAGGCAGCUCGCUGGGACGGUACUGACGCUGAGGCGCGAAAGCGUGGGGAGCAAACAGG